ACAGAUCAGAGCUCAGACCACACAGUAACGCCUGAUGUUUUGACAUUAGUGACUUAUUGUGCUUCCUUAAGGGGAUACACGAUUAGUCGUAAGAGUAGACUUUAUUUGAAAAAUAUUUAUUUUAAAUGUAAAACCAGUACAAUAUUGUUUUUACAAUACUGUAGGCUGUUUAGUUUUUAUACAUUUUAAUAAAUUGUCACACAAACGUUGCCAUGUUGUUCAUGGUGCAAUGCAUUCUGGGUAAAUGACGCACUUUCUCCAAUUGCA